AAGUCUGCUCCUCCCUCUUUAUUAAGUCUAAAAAAAUCAGCUGCAGUUGACUACAGAUACACAGGAAAGCAGUUUUAGAGAUACCUAACCUUCAUCCACCAUGAACCGUCAAAAUUGCAUUCUCUUGGUUCUAUUUGCAUUCUUGGCAAUAACUUGUGAAGUAGGAGUUGUCACAAGCCUGCCUUGGGGUUGUUCCAGCUACAGUGGGACCUGUCGUGUAGCUUGCCUGCCUGCGGAGUUACCUUUUGGACCUUUUGGCUGUGCUAAAGGAUUUGUGUGCUGCGUAUCACAAAUCCUAUGAAGAUGAACAGCUCCAUAGAAUUAGAGUGCUUCCCUUUGAUGUCUUGUGUUAGUCUACUGAAGACAGUGACCCCUGCCAGUCGCUUACAGGCGUCUAAUGGAACCUGAACAAAACCCCCUCCCUGGCACUUAGUACAAUACCAGCCUUUCUAAUAAUUAUCCACUUCUUAUCAGUCCCAAGCCUACUAAUAAAACACAGCUGUUUAACAACAGCAGCACCUGAUUGUGGCUGUGGGUCUGGAGCUGCUCCAUACCUCCAUAGCUUUUCUGGUUUCUGCAGCAUUCUUUGGCUUUACCUUUCCUCUUAAGCCGCAAUGUUUUAAUUCACAAGAUUUGCAUGAGCUGACUCCAAUUGCAUACUACUAUUAAUAUUUGAUAUAAUCAGCUUUUGCUUUUUGUUUAAUAAGAGUGCUUACUGUCUUCAGUUACAAAUGAUUGCAACUUUUUUUUUACUGCCAUGUAUGUUACCAUGUUUCUGUGAAAAAGAAAUGUUUUUAAGUAUCAGAAUCUUGUUUAUUCCAUGUUUUGUUUUCACCCAC